rnacentral:rRNA from 1 species
GUAGGUGGCAAGCGUUGUCCGGAAUUAUUGGGCGUAAAGGGCUCGCAGGCGGUUUCUUAAGUCUGAUGUGAAAGCCCCCGGCUCAACCGGGGAGGGUCAUUGGAAACUGGGGAACUUGAGUGCAGAAGAGGGGAGUGGAAUUCCACGUGUAGCGGUGAAAUGCGUAGAGAUGUGGAGGAACACCAGUGGCGAAGGCGACUCUCUGGUCUGUAACUGACGCUGAGGAGCGAAAGCGUGGGGAGCGAACAGGAUUAGAUACCCUGGUAGUCCACGCCGUAAACGAUGAGUGCUAAGUGUUAGGGGGUUUCCCGCCCCCUUAGUGCUGCAGCUAACGCAUUAAGCACUCCGCCUGGGGGAGUACGGUCGCAAGACUG